UGUGACCCUCUGCUCCCUGCAGGAGCAAUCCCUGCACUCCAACCCUGGCUGCAGCACAGACCCUGAUGUGACCCUCUGUACCCUGAUGUGACCCUCUGUGCCCUGCAGGAGCAAUCCCUGCACUCCAAACCUUGCUGCAGCACAGACCCUGAUGUGACCCUCUGUGCCCUGCAGGAGCAAUCCCUGCACUCCAAACCUUGCUGCAGCACAGACCCUGAUGUGACCCUCUGUGCCCUGCAGGAGCAAUCCCUGCACUCCAACCCUGGCUGCAGCACAGACCCUGAUGUGACCCUCUGUGCCCUGCAGGAGCAAUCCCUGCACUCCAACCCUGGCUGCAGCACAGACCCUGAUGUGACCCUCUGUGCCCUGCAGGAGCAAUUCCUGCACUCUAACCCUGGCUGCAGCACAGACCCUCUGUGACCCUCUGCUCCCUGCAGGAGCAAUCCCUGCACUCCAACCCUGGCUGCAGCACAGACCCUCUGUGACCCUCUGUGCCCUGCAGGAGCAAUCCCUGCACUCCAAACCUUGCUGCAGCACCUGGAAACUCCACUGAUGAACAAAUUCUCCACUGCAUGGGACAGGACAACAAGCCAGGUGGGUUUGUGGAAAAACACUGGGGAAACGCCUGCAAGGGGGUUUUAAUGCUGAGCUCUCUGCAGCCAUUUCCUAAAGCAUGAAUGAUUGAAUGGAAUGAACAACCUUUUUAUUUAAAAAUAAUGUCAGAACACUUAGAAAACUGUGAGCAAGACAUGUAGCACCGUAUUUUGCUCACAUCACUCACUGUAUGCAGUACACACAGCUGUGUACAGGAUCUGAGCUGUUAAUAACAAAAAAAAAUUCAGCUGGAAACAGAUUCUAGCAGCAGCAGCAAAUUGGAAAUGACUAUGAAUGGCUUUGUGUUAUAUACUAUUUUUCUGCCAUUACAAAAUGUUGUAAUGUCCAAUCAAUAGUUGACUAAAAUCAUUGUGCUUUGUCCCUGUUAAACAGUUUCUUUAUGUGUUCCUGAUGAAAAAUAAAAAGUGUCUCUCUUUUUCAGUAAUCCUGGAAAGCCAUAAUACUUCCAUAAAAAUUUAAUUUAAAGCACAGAACAUGUCAGUGUGCCAGGCCUAAAGUAUUAAGGAUUUAAAAAAAGAAGAAGAAAACAAUGACCAACAAACCCCUAAGCAUUUCCUUUCUAUACAAUAAUGGAGAAUAUAUAUCUUUGCUAUAUAUUUUAAACAUGGAAUAGCUUUUUCUUUUUGCUAUAUAUAUGUCUUUCAAAAUACAUUGUCAGUAUUUGUACUUGAAAAAUACUGUACAAAACGAACAUACUAUAAUUAUUCUGUAUAAACUUUAUACAUUUUAUAAUAUCUAUCCUUUUGGUCUAGAGUAAACACUUAGAUUGAUUGGAUUAACCACAGUAUAUGACAACACCAUCCCCCUCGGAAAUACACCAGUGUCUCUUACAUUCAUUUUUCAGAAGUCCACUUUAUAUUAGAACAGACAUGUUCAAAAGCAGAGAGUUUAAAACAAUAAAGUUCAGAACCAUCAGUUCAUGUCACACUCAAAACAACAAUCACUAGGAGAAAAUGGGCUUUGCAAACCAGUGACUUCUUCUAACUGAAUAAAAGUGAUUUUUUUUUUU